rnacentral:rRNA from 1 species
GACGAACGCUGGCGGCGUGCUUAACACAUGCAAGUCGAACGGAAAGGCCCUGCUUUUGUGGGGUGCUCGAGUGGCGAACGGGUGAGUAACACGUGAGUAACCUGCCCUUGACUUUGGGAUAACUCCAGGAAACUGGGGCUAAUACCGGAUAGGAGCUCCUGCUGCAUGGUGGGGGUUGGAAAGUUUCGGCGGUAGGGGAUGGACUCGCGGCUUAUCAGCUUGUUGGUGGGGUAGUGGCUUACCAAGGCUUUGACGGGUAGCCGGCCUGAGAGGGUGACCGGCCACAUUGGGACUGAGAUACGGCCCAGACUCCUACGGGAGGCAGCAGUGGGGAAUAUUGCACAAUGGGCGGAAGCCUGAUGCAGCAACGCCGCGUGCGGGAUGACGGCCUUCGGGUUGUAAACCGCUUUCGCCUGUGACGAAGCGUGAGUGACGGUAAUGGGUAAAGAAGCACCGGCUAACUACGUG